rnacentral:rRNA from 1 species
AGUGAACGCUGGCGGUAGGCCUAACACAUGCAAGUCGAACGGCAGCACAGGAGAGCUUGCUCUCUGGGUGGCAAGUGGCGGACGGGUGAGGAAUACAUCGGAAUCUACUUUUUCGUGGGGGAUAACGUAGGGAAACUUACGCUAAUACCGCAUACGACCUACGGGUGAAAGCAGGGGAUCUUCGGACCUUGCGCGAUUGAAUGAGCCGAUGUCGGAUUAGCUAGUUGGCGGGGUAAAGGCCCACCAAGGCGACGAUCCGUAGCUGGUCUGAGAGGAUGAUCAGCCAGACUUGAACUGAGACACGGUCCAGACUCCUACGGGAGGCAGCAGUGGGGAAUAUUGGACAAUGGGCGCAAGCCUGAUCCAGCCAUACCGCGUGGGUGAAGAAGGCCUUCGGGUUGUAAAGCCCUUUUGUUGGGAAAGAAAUCCAGCUGGUUAAUACCCGGUUGGGAUGACGGUACCCAAAGAAUAAGCACCGGCUAACUUCGUGCCAGCCGCCGCAGUAA